rnacentral:rRNA from 1 species
UACGUAGGGUGCGAGCGUUGUCCGGAAUUAUUGGGCGUAAAGAGCUUGUAGGCGGUUUGUCGCGUCUGCCGUGAAAGUCCGGGGCUCAACUCCGGAUCUGCGGUGGGUACGGGCAGACUAGAGUGAUGUAGGGGAGACUGGAAUUCCUGGUGUAGCGGUGAAAUGCGUAGAUAUCGGGAGGAACACCUGAGGCGAAGGCGGGCUACUGGGCCGAUACUGACGCUGAUGCGCGAAAGCCAGGGGAGCGAACGGGG